GAGGGUAUAGCUCAGUGGUAGAGCACAUGCCUAGCAUGCACAAGGUCCUGGGUUCAAUCCCCAGUACCUCUU
rnacentral:tRNA from 1 species